rnacentral:tRNA from 1 species
GGUAAAAUGGCUGAGUAAAGCAUUAGACUGUAAAUCUAAAGACAGAGGUUUUAUACCCCUCUUUUUACCAA